rnacentral:rRNA from 1 species
AUUGAACGCUGGCGGCAUGCCUUACACAUGCAAGUCGAACGGCAACAGGUCUUCGGAUGCUGACGAGUGGCGAACGGGUGAGUAAUACAUCGGAACGUGCCUAGUAGUGGGGGAUAACUACUCGAAAGAGUGGCUAAUACCGCAUGAGAUCUACGGAUGAAAGCAGGGGAUCGCAAGACCUUGUGCUACUAGAGCGGCCGAUGGCAGACUAGGUAGUUGGUGGGAUAAAAGCUUACCAAGCCGACGAUCUGUAGCUGGUCUGAGAGGACGAUCAGCCACACUGGGACUGAGACACGGCCCAGACUCCUACGGGAGGCAGCAGUGGGGAAUUUUGGACAAUGGGCGAAAGCCUGAUCCAGCAAUGCCGCGUGCAGGAUGAAGGCCUUCGGGUUGUAAACUGCUUUUGUACGGAACGAAAAGCCCCGGGUUAAUACCCUGGGGUCAUGACGGUACCGUAAGAAUAAGCACCGGCUAACUACGUGCCAACCGCCGCGGUAA